UACGGGCAUAGUCUUCACUUGAAGAUGGUCUCUUAUGCCACCCUCUCUUCCCCCAUAGAGACCCUUGGUCCUAUAGGAAUGAAAAGCAGCUGAUGAAACACACCCCUUAUGGUAAUCUCCUCAGGGUUCCAUGAGCACGUGACCAGAGGCAGAAUGGGGAAGACCCAGGAAGUCAGCAGUAGCCUUCCCAUUCCUGAAGUUGCUGCUGCCCAUCUCCUCUUGUGGUAUGUGCAGAGGAUGCUGGAACAUCUGCAGAGAGCAGCAGCUUCAUCACACAGGAAAUAAAUGGAGAAAGAAGCCCACCAAGCCUUUGGGUUGUGUCAUCUGGAAGGAGGAGUUUUCCAAGAUGAAUUCCACCAGGAGUCAGAGAUAUGUUGCUGGCUGCCAAGUGACUAAUUCUGCCAUUCCCAUUCCCAUUCCCAUUCCCAUUCCCAUUCCCAUUCCCAUCCCAUUCCAAUUCCCUUCCUUUCCUAUCCCAUUCCAUUCCAAUUCCCAUUCCCAAGCACUCUUCCUCAGGAAGUCUUCUCAGCCUAAGUGA
rnacentral:lncRNA from 1 species